UACGUAGGGGGCUAGCGUUGUUCGGAUUUACUGGGCGUAAAGGGCGCGUAGGCGGCAAUUCAAGUCAUCUGUGAAAUCUCCGGGCUUAACUCGGAACGGUCAGGUGAUACUGCUUUGCUAGAGUGCGGAAGGGGCAAUCGGAAUUCUUGGUGUAGCGGUGAAAUGCGUAGAUAUCAAGAGGAACACCUGAGGUGAAGACGGGUUGCUGGGCCGACACUGACGCUGACAGCGCGAAAGCCAGGGGAGCAAACGGG
rnacentral:rRNA from 1 species